UAAAGUGUGUGUGUAUAUAUGUGUGUGUGUGUGUAUAUAUGUGUGUGUGUGUAUAUAUAUAUAUAUAUAUAUAUAUAUAUAUAUAUACACACAUAUAUACACACACACACACACACAUAUGCACACACACUUUA